rnacentral:rRNA from 1 species
AUUGAACGCUGGCGGCAGGCUUAACACAUGCAAGUCGAGCGAGCGGCGGACGGGUGAGUAAUGUCUGGGAAACUGCCUGAGGGAGGGGGAUAACUACUGGAAACGGUAGCUAAUACCGCAUACCAUCAGAUGUGCCCAGAUGGGAUUAGCUAGUAGGGGGGGUAAUGGCUCACCUGGGCGACGAUCCCUAGCCGGUCUGAGAGGAUGACCAGCCACCAUGGAACUGAGACAAGGUCCGGCCUCCUCCGGGAGCCAGCAGUGGGGAAUAUUGCACAAUGGGCGCAAGCCUGGUGCCGCCAUGCCGCGUGUGUGAAGAAGGCCUUCGGGUUGUAACGCACUUUCAGCGAGGAGGCGUUACUCGCAGAAGAAGCACCGGCUAACUCCGUGCCAGCAGCCGCGGUAAUAC